AACGCUGGCGGCGUGCCUAAUACAUGCAAGUCGAACGAACUCUGGUAUUGAUUGGUGCUUGCAUCAUGAUUUACAUUUGAGUGAGUGGCGAACUGGUGAGUAACACGUGGGAAACCUGCCCAUAAGCGGGGGAUAACACCUGGAGACAGAUGCUAAUACCGCAUAACAACUUGGACCGCAUGGUCCGAGCUUGAAAGAUGGCUUCGGCUAUCACUUUUGGAUGGUCCCGCGGCGUAUUAGCUAGAUGGUGGGGUAACGGCUCACCAUGGCAAUGAUACGUAGCCGACCUGAGAGGGUAAUCGGCCACAUUGGGACUGAGACACGGCCCAAACUCCUACGGGAGGCAGCAGUAGGGAAUCUUCCACAAUGGACGAAAGUCUGAUGGAGCAACGCCGCGUGAGUGAAGAAGGGUUUCGGCUCGUAAAACUCUGUUGUUAAAGAAGAACAUAUCUGAGAGUAACUGUUCAGGUAUUGACGGUAUUUAACCAGAAAGCCACGGCUAACUACGUGCCAGCAGCCGCGGUAAUACGUAGGUGGCAAGCGUUGUCCGGAUUUAUUGGGCGUAAAGCGAGCGCAGGCGGUUUUUUAAGUCUGAUGUGAAAGCCUUCGGCUCAACCGAAGAAGUGCAUCGGAAACUGGGAAACUUGAGUGCAGAAGAGGACAGUGGAACUCCAUGUGUAGCGGUGAAAUGCGUAGAUAUAUGGAAGAACACCAGUGGCGAAGGCGGCUGUCUGGUCUGUAACUGACGC
rnacentral:rRNA from 1 species